AUGAUAAGGACACAUGGAGACACAGGGGAUCUGUGGCCUGAUGUUGGCCACUUGUCCCCAUUGCUCAAUGGACGGAGGGAGUAUUAUAUUUCUCUCAUUUUUCCUUUUAUCUCAUUUUCAUUUUUUUCCAACAUUCCCCUUCUCCUUUCUCUCCUUUUCUCUUUUCUACAGCAAAACAACAAUCCUAUGCCACUAAAUCCUAGCGGCGGCGCACGCUUUCUUUCUCCCCAAAUCAAACCUAAUGGUAGCUUAUACACCUCAACCCCAACCAUAAACCUCAACAAUAAAAUCGAACAAAAACUUAUAAGCAGUGAUUUCAAUUUGUUUUGGCCCUCAGGGUAA